rnacentral:lncRNA from 1 species
UUCAUCAUUUUUUUCAUGCCCCUUGGCAGUCCUCAUUCCACCUGACCGUUUGAUUUCUUUCUUUUUUGUUUGUUUUUGGUUCAGGCGUUUCUAGUAUUGUUCUUCCUUUUUUUUUGUUUUUUUUUGUUUUUGCAGGAUCGACCUCGAUUCCUUCAUUCGCAACAUGCCUCGGCAGCUUGCUGGACAGCACUCCAUAAGUGCGCUAAUUCGAACUCAACAGUAUGAGUUAUCUCUACCUGUCAAACAACUUGAUCCACCGGAUGCCCCUCUUCUGCUUGGGACACGGCAGCUUGCUGGACAGCACUCCAUAAGUGCGCUAAUUCGAACUCAACAGUAUGAGUUAUCUCUACCUGUCAAACAACUUGAUCCACCGGAUGCCCCUCUUCUGCUUGGGACUUUGCCAUCAUGUCGUCAACAUGGCAUUUGCUUUCACGAUGAGUCAUAUCAUGAAAAAAAGUCACUGUAGCCCUUUGAUUCGUGGCACCGACCUUCUUCUUCACCAUAUAACAAGAAGGGACUCCUCGGUGUGAUGGAC